GAACAAACAAGUAUCACCGCCAUCCCACCACUGGUCUUCACAAGGCCUUGCAACUUCAAUCAUUGCCAUGUAUCCAUUAAUUUCCCCGUCGCUCUGUCUGAAGUGCAACCAACUGCUGAUCACCCAUCGCGAUGCGCGAGGCGCGGAGUGUCAAACGCCCCCAGACCCGCGUCAGGACGAAGCUCUUUCGCGCCCUCUUGCAACAAUCCGCACGACGCCUCCCCCACAGUUCUCCGAUUCGCGUUUUCCGCAAGGAAUGUCCGUCUGGACCCUUCUGCUGGGCUGGGUCAUCACAAUACGUCGCAUCUCGUACCUGUAUCAGGAAUCUCGAUGAUCGCCGCGCUCUGGUCUAUUGUGCCACGGUUGUCAGCAACUGACAAGCCAGUCUCCCAGCGAGGGUACGCGUCUCGGAACUUAACCCUAAGUAAAAUGUUGGUGUUUUGCGCACCUUGUUCGUCCGAGCCGCCCUCUAAAUCUGACCUGUCUUUCCUGUGAGGCUCAUGCCGCUGAAAAGUGGUUAUUGAGCCGAUCAGGGCAUGGAGGAUGGAAAGGCGGCGAGGAUUGCCCAGACGUCCUCCUUGGACGGGUGAGAGUCGAUUCCUAUGAGUCGCAAGGGUAAGAACCUCAGGCCAGAGGUCGCUCGUCAGGUCUCCACAUCUGGGCUUUGAAUUCUGGCCAUCACGGGUCGUUCUGGUGUGUCGUGGUAACCCACUCAUGGAUGCGGGCGUCUGCAGCUUGCUUCGGCAUGCCCCAGCUGCCAUUUCCACUUGUUGUGACCGGGAAGGGUACAGCACAGGCUUCACACGGUUGAUACCUAGACAUUUCCCAUUCCAUGGGGUAUGCCUCUGACUCGCCUUGCCUAAUCCUCUGCGCUGGUCGUGAGAGAGCAAGGGUCUGAAGGCCUCAAACACAAAUGUCAUGGGAUCGACUCAAAUCGCCUUGUUGUCAAGCCCUCGGUACCCGGUCUCAGCUCUUCCCCUUCUGAGUCGUGAACGUCCCGCUGUCCAUCUCAUCCCACCGCCAGAACCACAUCACGGCAACAGCCACCGAUGUGUCAUGCAAUGCAUGAGGUCCGGCCAGGCGCAUUAGCUUGAGCGCAUGGGCCCUGCCCCAUGGGUCAUCAAGGCAUCCGACGCCUUGCUCAUUGCCACCUGGUGAUGUGCAUGCUCCCUCUCGGCUACCAGAAAUGGACUGCAUGAGAGACGACAGCGCAAUUUUUGAGGAUGUCUUUUGUUUGCGCGCUCCUUGCCCUCCUUCGUUGUUCUUGGUGGCCCGUUGGAGAGGAAACAAAAACUAGUCCUUGUUGGCAGUGUGAUCACACGGAAAGAGCUUCUUCCUGAUGCGGCUGGUGGCCUUUUUCACAGCAUCUUGCGGCGGUUUCGGCAAUGUUGCGUCUACGACGACAAAGCUUCUUUGGGAACGUUUGAGAUGCGGGCUCUGGGCGAGUUGCGGGUGUGAUGCAUCAUGGGACCCAUCGAUCAGGUUCUCGGGGUGAUGCUCGCCGACUGUGGUGCGCCUGUUGAGGUUCUUUUGCCUGGCAUGCGGCAGAAUUGGGACCCAUCUCGAGUUGGAGUCAAAGUUUUGUACUUGUUCGAUUCUGUUGUCGGCCUUGCAAUUGGCUUUUAAUCUGGCAGCUACAUGAAAGUAGCCCUCUCUGGGAUCUGGUCUCCAUUUGGAAAGGGACAGGGUUCGUGAAGAACAGUCCCGGCUGCUCUCUCUUCAGGAAUGGCGAGAGAGUGGCCCCCCCUUUU
rnacentral:telomerase_RNA from 1 species